AUGCUCUUUAUUACUCUCUACUAUUCAAAAUUUACGAUUGUCUAUUCAAUUGAUAUUUACUUACCUAAGUUUUAUGUUCAUUCGCACUGUAGUCGACCUGACAGAAUUGUUUCCAUAGCUAAGAAACUUGGCAUAAAUCUAGGAAAUAUGUUGGACAAUGUAUAUUUCCUUUGUUUCAUAAAUAAAAAUAUAUGGAUCAUAAUUGGCUCUUGGUGGUGGUGA